rnacentral:lncRNA from 1 species
UUUAAAAAGAAAAAGAAGUGCCUCUAUAUUUAUAUUAUAGAUAUAUCCACUUAGAUGAAUAAAUAUUAUUAAUGAAUAUGUAUCACAAUCCAUCUCGAGGUAUUUGGAUCAAUACCUAUUCGGUGGAUCUUUUCUUUUCUCUGCCAGGAACCAGAUUUGAACUGGUGACACGAGGAUUUUCAGUCCUCUGCUCUACCAACUGAGCUAUCCUGACCUUUUCUUGUGCAUCAUCCUAGUAGAGUAUUUGUAUCUAUGUCAAUUAAAAGGACUNNNNNNNNNNCAUUUGGAUUCCCCUAUUUUGAAAAUCGCAUAUUAAUUUCCUUCAUAUGAGCAGAAAAAUAGGAUGACUCAAAGAAGUUCUCUACCAGGAACUUUGUACCGCGCACAUUACUUAGCACAACUAGGAAAAUAAGAUAAGAUAAAGAUAAGCAAGACUAAAAAAAUAUUCGUCGGAAUAGCGGAAUACAAAUUAGAUGAAUAAAUAUUAUUAAUGAAUAUGUAUCACAAUCCAUCUCGAGGUAUUUGGAUCAAUACCUAUUCGGUGGAUCUUUUUUUUUUUUUUUCUCUGCCAGGAACCAGAUUUGAACUGGUGACACGAGGAUUUUCAGUCCUCUGCUCUACCAACUGAGCUAUCCUGACCUUUUCUUGUGCAUCAUCCUAGUAGAGUAUUUGUAUCUAUGUCAAUUAAAAGGACUAAAAAUUAAUUAAAGUGUUUCAAAUUUAAAAUUUGAAAAUGGGGGGGUAGUCCUAUGCAUUGUGCAUGGUUUACUUAAAUAAAACUUAAAAAUAGAGUGAAUAACCAAGAUUUCUUGCCGAUACUCUAAUAAAAAAGAAAUCUAUUCAAUGAAUAGGAUAAGAUCCAUUGAGUUCUCUUCGCAUUCCUUUGUGAAAGAGUAGAAUGAGAAAGCUAAUGAAUCUUAAACCCAUUGAUAAAAAGAAAAAAAAGAGGAUAAAUAAUAAUAAUAUAGUAUAGUUAGGGAAUAAAAGAGGAUUUGGGGAUAGAGGGACUUGAACCCUCACAACUUAUAAAGUCGACGGAUUUUCCUUUUACUAGAAAUUUCAUUGUUGUCAGUAUUGACAUGUAGAAUGGGACUCUCUCUUUGUCCUCGUCCGAUUAAUCCACUUUUUUAAAGAUCUCGAAAACUUUGAAUUUGAAUUGAAGAAUUUGAUUAUUCAAUAUUCGAUUGGAGUGGANNNNNNNNNNAAAAAAAGAGGAUAAAUAAUAAUAAUAUAGUAUAGUUAGGGAAUAAAAGAGGAUUUGGGGAUAGAGGGACUUGAACCCUCACAACUUAUAAAGUCGACGGAUUUUCCUUUUACUAGAAAUUUCAUUGUUGUCAGUAUUGACAUGUAGAAUGGGACUCUCUCUUUGUCCUCG